rnacentral:rRNA from 1 species
GACGAACGCUGGCGGCGUGCUUAACACAUGCAAGUCGAACGGAAAGGCCCUGCUUUUGUGGGGUGCUCGAGUGGCGAACGGGUGAGUAACACGUGAGUAACCUGCCCUUGACUUUGGGAUAACUUCAGGUAACUGGGGCUAAUACCGGAUAGGAGCUCCUGCUGCAUGGUGGGGGUUGGAAAGUUUCGGCGGUUGGGGAUGGACUCGCGGCUUAUCAGCUUGUUGGUGGGGUAGUGGCUUACCAAGGCUUUGACGGGUAGCCGGCCUGAGAGGGUGACCGGCCACAUUGGGACUGAGAUACGGCCCAGACUCCUACGGGAGGCAGCAGUGGGGAAUAUUGUACAGUGGGCGGAAGCGUGAUGCGGCAGCGCCGCGGGCGGGAUGACGGCCUUCGGGGUGUAAACCGCUUUCGCCUGUGACGAAGCGUGAGUGACGGUAAUGGGUAAAGAAGCACCGGCUAACUACGUG